rnacentral:tRNA from 1 species
GGGUGCUUAGCUCAGUUGGGAGAGCGUCGCCCUUACAAGGCGAAGGUCGGCGGUUCAAGCCCGUCAGCACCCACCA